rnacentral:rRNA from 1 species
GAUGAACGCUGGCGGCGUGCUUAACACAUGCAAGUCGAACGAAGCACCUUGAUUUGAUUCUUCGGAUGAAGUUCUUGGUGACUGAGUGGCGGACGGGUGAGUAACGCGUGGGUAACCUGCCUCAUACAGGGGGAUAACAGUUAGAAAUGACUGCUACUACCGCAUAAGACCACAGCACCGCAUGGUGCAGGGGUACAAACUCCGGUGGUAUGAGAUGGACCCGCGUCUGAUUAGGUAGUUGGUGGGGUAACGGCCUACCAAGCCGACGAUCAGUAGCCGACCUGAGAGGGUGACCGGCCACAUUGGGACUGGGACACGGCCCAAACUCCUACGGGAGGCAGCAGUGGGGAAUAUUGCACAAUGGGGGAAACCCUGAUGCAGCGACGCCGCGUGAGCGAUGAAGUAUUUCGGUAUGUAAAGCUCUAUCAGCAGGGAAGAAAAUGACGGUACCUGACUAAGAAGCACCGGCUAAAUACGUG